rnacentral:sRNA from 1 species
AUUCGCCGUCCCUCACCCGGCACCUGCGUCCACUCUCCAGCGUCCCAAAUGUUUCCUUCCAAUGGGCUUUUGGUGUAGGAUGUCGGAGAACCAAGAACAGGAGGUAAGAGUAUGGUCUGCAGAGAACAGGAGGUGAUUACAGUGCGUGUUCAGGACCCCCGAGUGCAGAAUGAGGGCUCCUGGAACUCUUAUGUGGAUUAUAAGAUAUUCCUCCAUAUGGAGUUUUGCUUUUGUUGCCCAGGCUGGAGUGCAGUGGUGUGAUCUCGGCUUACUGCAACCUCCACCUCCCAGGUUCAAGUGAUUCUCCUGCCUCAGCCUCCCAAGUAGCUGGGAUUACAGACCAACAGCAAAGCCUUUACUGCCAAGACUUCCUGUGUGCGGCGCCGCUACCGUGAGUUCGUAUGGCUGAGAAAGCAGCUACAGAGAAAUGCUGGUUUGGUGCCUGUUCCUGAACUUCCUGGGAAGUCAACCUUCUUCGGCACCUCAGAUGAGUUCAUUGAGAAGCGACGACAAGGUCUGCAGCACUUCCUUGAAAAGGUCCUGCAGAGUGUGGUUCUCCUGUCAGACAGCC